rnacentral:lncRNA from 1 species
UAUGUCGGAGACUGUCAAUAGUACGGACACUAAACGUCACGCAAGCGCGCCCCCUGGUGGCGUUUCCGGUGAAACAACAUUUUGGCGCGCUUGGCAGAGUAGUGGUGGUCGGCGUGGCGUCCGCGGAGCUCAGGCUUGGUCGAGUCGUCGUGCUGCGCACAUCUCGAUACUGCCUUUCGUUACGUGUAGUGUACCUAGUGUUAUUGCCUAGUGUUGUAGUACUGUUGUAGAUCCAUAUUGUAAAGUGUGUAAAGUGUCUUUUGAAAUUAAAGCUUGGUCGAGUCGUCGUGCUGCGCACAUCUCGAUACUGCCUUUCGUUACGUGUAGUGUACCUAGUGUUAUUGCCUAGUGUUGUAGUACUGUUGUAGAUCCAUAUUGUAAAGUGUGUAAAGUGUCUUUUGAAAUUAAAGUGUAAAGGUUCUUCUAACCUAACAGACAGACAUGUGUUGCUGGGGAGUUUGUUCCGCCACUUCUUCUCCCCAAGCCAAAACACAUAGGAAGUGGCGAAGGGCGGGCGUUUUGGGGGCUGUCUUUUGUUCUGACUAAUUUGAAUAAACGUUUGACUUUUGAGUUCGUUUGAA